GAGUGCCAGCUGACCGCUCUAGCCAAUCAGCAACACCCCUACCCAACGGCACUCUGUGCUUCCUGACACUCAGUAAAUAAACACAUUAAUACUGAUAUUUUUUUACCUUUGGAGAUGAGAAGGUCCAGCAUUUUCCUGCCUGGCCCAGGUACCAAAGCCUUAUGAUAUGGUGUCCAGAAUAAAGUGGAGGGUUCACUUCAUUUGUCCUUCCUGCUCCAAUCUCCUUUUCCUCCCCUUCAUUUGACAGUCUUUUUUUUCUUCUGACACUGUUUUCUAUCCUUGGCCCCUUCUGCUCUUUUACCUUUCUGCUACUUUCUGCUUAUUUAGCGCCCUUCUGCUCCUUUCUCAUUCUGAUCCCUUUCUCCUCCUUGCAGACCCUUUCUGCUCCCUUUUCUACUUUACCUUUGUGCUCCUUCUGAUUCUUUCAGCUCCUUUACCUUUGUGCUCCUUCCUGUUCCUUGCAGGCCCUUCCUGCUCAUUCUCCUAUUUUACCUUUGUGCUCCUUCUGCCCCUUCCAGCUCAUUUCUGACCCUUUCUGCUCCUUCUACUUUACCUUUGUGCUGCUUUACCUUCCAGCUCCUUGCUGACCCUUCCUGUUCAUUUCUGUUCCUUUGUGCUCCUUCUCCUACUUUACCUUUUGUGCUCCUUGCUGUCCCUUCCAGCUCCUUGCUGCCCCUUUCUGCUCCUUGAUGUCCCUUCCUGCUCAUUUCUGUUCCUUCUCCUUUUCUUACUUUACCUUCUUGCUCCUUGCUGACUCUUCAUGUAGGCUGUCUCCCCCAUCCCUCACUUCCAUAGGCGUGCGCACGGGGUGUGUCGGGUGUGCCUGGGCACACCCUAAUCCCCGCGGCACGCCAAUGGAUAGAGACCGGCAGGGGAGAUCUCUGGUCUAAGCCUCCAUGGGCCGGUGGGGAGAUCAAAGUUCUACCUCACCGGUCCACAGCAGCAUGGAGGGAGGCAGCAGAGAACCCGGGCUAGAGUUCAC